AUAACAACAUGGAAGUGAAUAAUAUGAUACGAACACUUCAUUCACUAAUACAAAAAAAUUUUCUUAGAAUUUGGGUCAAUCAUGCUAAACCAAAAUUGUGUAAAAAAGUGUAAAAACAGAAUUGGAUGCAUAGUCAAACAUGCACAACUAUAAUUUGGUCAACAUAGGACAGAUUGAUGAGGAACUUUGGAGUCUAUGCUUCCUUUUUUCUACAGUCAAUGAUGAAUCACAAUUAUCCAUCCAAGAGAAAUAUAAAAGUUUUCAGUUCCUGAUACGUGUUCCCAGUUGUGUUCUUGGUCAGCACUGGGUUCCUGUCGUGUCAUGCCUGCUUGGGGAUCUGAUGUCAGCGUAAACAUCAAGAUUCAAAUGUGUGAAGUAACUGUUUAAUGAUAAAGAAGAAAGAAGAAAAAAAUUCAAUGUAAUAAAGGAAGAAGAAUCAUUUGAAAUUAUCAAAAAUAGGGGUGGAACAGGAACUAUUACUCUGAUAACUGCUGAGAAGAACAAAGUCAAAGGAAAUCACCUAUCCAGAUAAAAGGGACUGAAUUACAAUUACAAAUUCCAUUGAAAGCUAGUUGACAAUAGUGAAGAUA
rnacentral:lncRNA from 1 species